UGCAGUCGAGCGCCCGUCACUCAACUGAGCAACUGUGAGCCAUUCACGGAAGCUGAGUUGAGUGACGGGAGCGGCGGACGGGUGAGUAACACGUGGGCAACCUGCCUGUAAGAUCGGGAUAACUUCGGGAAACCGGAGCUAAUACCGGAUAAUCCUUUUUUCCUGCAUGGGGAAAAGCUGAAAGAUGGCUUCGGCUAUCACUUACAGAUGGGCCCGCGGCGCAUUAGCUAGUUGGUGAGGUAACGGCUCACCAAGGCGACGAUGCGUAGCCGACCUGAGAGGGUGAUCGGCCACACUGGGACUGAGACACGGCCCAGACUCCUACGGGAGGCAGCAGUAGGGAAUCUUCCGCAAUGGACGAAAGUCUGACGGAGCAACGCCGCGUGAGUGAUGAAGGUUUUCGGAUCGUAAAACUCUGUUGUCAGGGAAGAACAAGUACCGUUCGAACAGGGCGGUACCUUGACGGUACCUGGCCAGAAAGCCACGGCUAACUACGUGCCAGCAGCCGCGGUAAUACGUAGGUGGCAAGCGUUGUCCGGAAUUAUUGGGCGUAAAGCGCGCGCAGGCGGUCUUUUAAGUCUGAUGUGAAAGCCCACGGCUCAACCGUGGAGGGUCAUUGGAAACUGGAGGACUUGAGUGCAGAAGAGGAGAGCGGAAUUCCACGUGUAGCGGUGAAAUGCGUAGAGAUGUGGAGGAACAC
rnacentral:rRNA from 1 species